UCCGGAGGGUGCAAUCGUUAAUCGGAAUUACUGGGCGUAAAGCGUGCGUAGGGGGUUGAUUAAGUUAUCUGUGAAAUCCCUGGGCUUAACCUGGGCAGGUCAGAUGAUACUGGUUGACUCGAGUAUGGGAGAGGGUAGUGGAAUUUCCGGUGUAGCGGUGAAAUGCGUAGAGAUCGGAAGGAACACCAGUGGCGAAGGCGGCUACCUGGCCUAAUACUGACACUGAGGCACGAAAGCGUGGGGAGCAAACAGG
rnacentral:rRNA from 1 species